rnacentral:misc_RNA from 1 species
AACACGUAAUCACAACCGGGCGUCGUGGGGAUCUAGCAUGAGCUUGAGGCCUGCGAUGCUCUGUCGACAUGCGUUCAGGGUGCCCCUUUUGAGGCAUCGUGGGCGUCUUGUCGUCACCGAAACAAACCCCGGCACGGCAUGUGCCAAGGAAAACCAAACUUAAGAAGGGUGCGUCUCGUGCUGCCCCGUUCGCGGUGUGCGCACGUGUCGUGGCCUCUCAUUAACCAUAAACGACUCUCGGCAACGGAUAUCUCGGCUCACGCAUCGAUGAAGAACGUAGCAAAAUGCGAUACUUGGUGUGAAUUGCAGAAUCCCGUGAACCAUCGAGUUUUUGAACGCAAGUUGCGCCCGAAGCCAUUCGGCCGAGGGCACGUCUGCCUGGGCGUCACGCAUCGCGUCGCCUCCRACCACGCCUCUCCCAUGGGGAUGUGUUUGGCCGGGGGCGGAGAUUGGUCUCCCGUGUCCAUGGCGCGGUUGGCCUAAAACGGAGUCCCCUCCGAUGGACGCACGGCUAGUGGUGGUUGUCAAGGCUUCGUAUCGAGCCGUGCGUCGUGAGUCGCGAGGUAAACGCUCUCCAAAGACCCCAAUGUGUCGUU